AAAAAUUUGGCGCUCUAAUAUUAUUUCAUUUUAUUUCUAACCUUACCAAUUUCAUCCGAGCCCUAGUUUCUCUUCAGCCUCCCCAAUCGUCUCCAUCUCUAUUCUCGGUCUCAAUUCUGAACUUGGCCCCCUCUCUCUCUGCAACUCCCCAAUCGACUCAAUCUCUCUCUUUGCAACUCCCCAAUUGCCUCCAUCUCUAUUCUCGUCUUAACUCUAAACUUGCGCCCCCCUCUCUCUACAACUCCCUAAUCGUGAUGACACGUGCCCCUCCUCCUCAACCACCCCCCUCUCUUAGCAAUUCUGUCUCUCUUAGCAAUUCUGCCUCCAAUCUCUCUGUCACUUUUCUCAUUUUCUCUCUCUACGUACCUAUACCAUACCAGUCUUGAUUGAUCAGAAUGGUGAAGCUUGUAUUGGCCCGAGAGAGUCGGAUAUAUGGACCCCAGCUGGCUCGAAACCGAUCUGAGUACAUAAACGCCGACCUAUACGUGUUCGCCACCAUUGUUCUUCUCUGUGGCUUCGUGGCUCAACUCUUCAGCGAGCCGAAAUUGGGUUUGGUUCUUCUACUUAUAGGCUUAGCUCUCAUAAUCUUUGUGAACGUUCACGAUCUCCUUGCUCAUCUCGCUGGCAUCGAUUACCAAUUGCCGUUGAUGGAAUUCCACGUCUAGCUUGGCCUCGUCGAGUUCGCCGUCCCCGUGGUUCAGAUUACAGCUACACUUCUCUAUUUCUUAGGGAUUCUUUUUAUUUUCAUUCAGGAGCAGAAAAUAAAAGAGGGUCAGUACAUGAUGGGUCUAAAAGAUGAGAUAUUCUAUUUUUCUUGGUUUAUUACAUACGCUUUGCAGGUGUCACUCUUGAAGAUCCUCACACUGAAGAACUCAGUCAAGAAGUUAGAGGGUUCAUAUUCUCUAAAAUUCUGAUUUUGAUGCCGGUAUUCCUUGGGCAACUACGUUAUAUUCAUAAGAACUUGUUCUAUACAGUUUUUGUUGUGGAUCCUGCAUCCAUUUAUGGACUUGAGGCAAGUUUUAUUGUGUAAAAAGUGACGUCAGUUCGUUGUAUGUGCAUUAUACUGUUGCCAGAAUUACUUAUCUAAUUUUAGUUUCAUUGUCUUUUGCGGGCAAUUGACACGAUUAUUUCUUUGUACGAGAAUAGUUUUCCUAUGAGAUUUGGGGUGAUAUUGUACUCAACAAAGUUUAUCAAGAAGAUUGAAUCGAAUAGUGGAGAACUCCCAUUAGAUCCUGUGGAAAAUAACAGUGGGACAGAGGAAGAUGUGUCCAGUUUGGUACUUCUUUCUAUCUUAUUGUACCGUCUUUUUACAUCUCAAACAUGUCUAGGCUAAAUUUGAUAAAUUUGUACAAUACGUUAUAUGCAUUUAAGGAGAAUGCCUUAGAUAAUCCAGACAGAUGCAUUUUCUGACUUCGGCCUGAACUACAUCAUUUUAAAUAGAAAUAUGUUUUACUACUCCUAACAGUUUUACUUAAACCUCAUAAGAGUACAAAUUUUUGUUAUAGUAAUUUGAAAAUCAGAUUUUUAACGAAUCAGUUAUAGAAAAGGUUUCUGUUCUAUCAUCUAGGUUGUAGUAACAAGUUCUGCCUUUUUUUUAGGAAACCAGUGACUCACCAUAGUUGAUAAAUAGCAUAGAUCCAGACAAAAACAAAAUACAAAACAUGCAUUGUCUCUUCAAAUCACUAAUUAUUAUAGAUUAUUUGCAAAAUUAAUAAUAAUUAUAGUUCCCACAACUAAUUUUAAUCAUUUGGAGAAUUAUUAUUGUAAAUGCUAUGAUUCACCACAUUAUCAUUCUUUUAGGGAAAUCUUGUUUCAUAUUGUUACUAUUAGAAAAUCUAUCUCUUUCUCUCUCACACACACACACACACCUUGUUUAUCUCCUAAAUUCUCUUCAGAUGAGUGAUUAUUCUUAGGUUCUAACGAACAUGACUUUGUUGCUAGUAUUUCUUAUAGCAGUUUAGUAGAACUCAGAAAUUAUUGUCUUAUAUAUAAUUUAGUAUGUAAAAGGUUUUGUGUAUGUUCUUGUGUUGUAUAUAUUCAUUUUCUAGUCAUGAUGCCAAUUCAGUUAAGGUUAUGAUCUUUAAUUUCUCUUAUAUAAAUUUUCAUUUAUUAUAAUGUGCGCUUAAUGAAUUUAUAAAAAAUGUUUGGUAAUUCAAAUCAAAUGGGCAAGAAGAGUUGUUAAAGUUGUAGUUGAAGCUGAAGAUGGGGUUGUGGUUAUGCUUUCAGCAUUUCUUUCACCUUGGAUGGGUUCUUUUUGAAAAACUUGUACUACAUUUGUAAAAAAUUCUUAAUUCUUUUUUUUGUCACAUUUAGUAGAUCUAGACAAUUUGGAUGGUAUUUUCAUAUUGGCAUGUUAACUUAUGGUUGUAUUAGUAGACAUUUUUUGAGUUUUGGUUGACAUUUACCAGCUUUAUCUAUUAGUAAACAAUUUCGAUGGUAUUUUUCAUAUUGGCAGUAGGUUAACUUGUGGUUGUAAUAUGUAAAAACAAUUUGGAUGGUACUUUUAUAUUGCCAACUUGUGUUAUAUUGGAUGACAUUUAGUAACCAAGACAUUUUUCAAAAACAAUAAAGGGCAAAAAAUAAAAAAAAAAAUAAAAUAAAAUAAAAAUGUGCCUUUACCGGCGCUUCUUAAAGAAGCGCUGGCAAAGAGGCGAAAAAAAAAAAAAAAAACAUAAAAUGACCUUUUACCAGCGCUUCUUAAAAAAGCGCUGAUAAAGACCUUAUACCAGCGCUUCUCAAAAAGUGCUGGUAAAGGGUCUAUACCAAUGCUUCUCAAAAAGCGCUGGUAAAGCCCUACCGACGCCAGAUUUACCAGUGUUUUUUCAAAAGCGCUGGUAAAACGCUGGUAAUUGAAUUACUAGCAUUUUUUGGGACUUUUACCAGCGUUUUUGAGCGCUGGUAAAAGCCAUAAUUGUUGUAGUGGAAGUGUUUACAAGUAUCUCAUUCUCUAUGAUUUACAGAUUUUAACUCACUCUAGAGAAUCAAUGAAUACAAGUGAAGCUCUCUCUCUAAGUGUGAUGAAUGUGAGAGGAUGAAGAAUAGAACAACAGCUCUGUAUCAAUGUGAAUAUCUCAGAACAAAAGCUCUGAAUGAUGGUCUGAAAAAUGCUCAAUAAAUUCGCAGCUUCUCUCUCUAGGUUUUGGCUAUGCAAGUUUGUAUAUAAGAAGUUGAAUGAUUGUUUAGAACAUGAGCUCUAUCAAAGAGUAAUACCAGAACAAAACCUCUGUAGAAUGGUAGAGCAAAAGCUCUCUUGGAUUUAUGAAAAUGGCUCCUUUAGCUCUGUUAAUUCAUCUUUGAAACUGAUGCAUAUUUAUGAAGUUCAUGAGAUGCAAUAUGACCGUUAUUUUGGAUUAUACUUGAUGGACAUAUGAAUAUCUGACUCUACGACGCUCGAAAUAUGUGUAUAAAGCCUGGAGCAAGAUUGCAGAAGUAUUGAAGAAGAUGCGCAACUUUGACACAUAAGGAAUGUAGCCGUUGGCUAUUCCUUCAGGACUUAGUCGACUUAGUUGUGAACUAAGUUGGUUGGGUUGAGAAGGGAGUCGGCUCAAUUAUGAAUUGAGUCGACUGGAUUAUUAAAUGAGCCAGCUGAAUUGAAUUUUGAUUUUGAUGAGCCUCGGCCUAACUGAGUCAGCUGGAUUCCAAACUGAGUCGGCUGAGUUGUGAAUUGAACAUGAUGAGCCUCAGCCUAAUCCAGUCGGCUGGAUUGCUAACUGAGUCGGUUGAGUUGCAUUAUAUCAGAAAUUCAAACUGUUUGUGAUCUGCAACAGGUAUCUACACAGGACUUCUGCACACAGCUUAUUUCCAUUAAAAACAUUAAAGUAAAUGUCUUUACAGUAUUUAUAUGUCAAUUUACUUUAAGUUUACAAUGUAAAUAAGGAAGUACCUCCCAUUUGGAUUCAAUAAAAAAUAUUAAAAAAUUGAAAUCCAACUAAAUCAAAAUGUAGAAAUUCAGUUUUAGUACAAAUUUGGAUUUUUGACAGUUUUGGUAAAAAUGAAUCUUUAUGUAAACCAAUGUAGACUUGGUCAAAAAUUCUGAUAAAAUCAGUUUAGGCUAGUUUAAGUAUAAAGAGUUAUUAUCGGGAAAAAUUAUUUUUAAAUAAUCAUUAUUUCAAAAAUCCAUUUUUCACACUUAGUCAAAAAGCACAGUUUUUCAUGAAGUGCAUUCUGGGGUCCUAAUGUCUGUUACCAACUCAUGGUAAUGAAGGCUUUUCAUGCCUUAAUUGUUGACCAAUAUGAAUUUUAUGAUUGAUGUGCAUGGUCUUAGCAUUUCUAGCACAAAUGAUGAGUUCUUUCAAAGCUUAUGCAAGCUUGAACUAACUCAUUCUUUUAGUAAAAACUUCAUGUGUCAAUUAUAUGAAUGAAGUGUAUAGUCUAUUGCUAAUGGAUAUAUGAGCAUAUGAAUGAU